GUUCGGCGGCGGAGGUGGAAGCGGCGCUGGAGCGGCGGGAGCCGGGGCGAGAUCGGCGCCCGGGGCUGCAGAGAUACCCAGGAGCGGAUUUAGGCAGAGGCAGCAGAAAGCUGAGGCAGAGGCAGCAGAAAGCUGAGAACCUGGAGCUCAGGCAGCAGAGCUGGUGGAGACAUAAAGACGGUAGGACUGUGGGCAGAACAAGAGUGGGGCUGGAUUAGGGAGCAUGGACCUGGCAUAAGUACUGCAGGGAUGGAGCUGGGAUAAAAAUAGUCAGGCCUGGCCUGGAA